GACGAACGCUGGCGGCGUGCUUAACACAUGCAAGUCGAACGGAAAGGCCUUUUCGGAGGUACUCGAGUGGCGAACGGAUGAGUAACACGUGGGUGAUCUGCCCUGCACUCUGGGAUAAGCCUGGGAAACUGGGUCUAAUACCGGAUAGGACCGCACUUUAGUGUGUGUGGUGGAAAGUUUUUUCGGUGUAGGAUGAGCCCGCGGCCUAUCAGCUUGUUGGUGGGGUAAUGGCCUACCAAGGCGGCGACGGGUAGCCGGACUGAGAGGUUGGUCGGCCACAUUGGGACUGAGAUACGGCCCAGACUCCUACGGGAGGCAGCAGUGGGGAAUAUUGCACAAUGGGCGCAAGCCUGAUGCAGCGACGCCGCGUGGGGGAUGACGGCCUUCGGGUUGUAAACUCCUUUCGCCAGGGACGAAGCGUUUUGUGACGGUACCUGGAGAAGAAGCACCGGCUAACUACGUG
rnacentral:rRNA from 1 species